AAAUUGAAGAGUUUGAUCAUGGCUCAGAUUGAACGCUGGCGGCAGGCCUAACACAUGCAAGUCGAACGGUAACAGGAAGCAGCUUGCUGCUUUGCUGACGAGUGGCGGACGGGUGAGUAAUGUCUGGGAAACUGCCUGAUGGAGGGGGAUAACUACUGGAAACGGUGGCUAAUACCGCAUAACGUCGCAAGACCAAAGAGGGGGACCUUCGGGCCUCUUGCCAUCAGAUGUGCCCAGAUGGGAUUAGCUUGUUGGUGAGGUAACGGCUCACCAAGGCGACGAUCCCUAGCUGGUCUGAGAGGAUGACCAGCCACACUGGAACUGAGACACGGUCCAGACUCCUACGGGAGGCAGCAGUGGGGAAUAUUGCACAAUGGGCGCAAGCCUGAUGCAGCCAUGCCGCGUGUAUGAAGAAGGCCUUCGGGUUGUAAAGUACUUUCAGCGGGGAGGAAGGUGUUGCGGUUAAUAACCGCAGCAAUUGACGUUACCCGCAGAAGAAGCACCGGCUAACUCCGUGCCAGCAGCCGCGGUAAUACGGAGGGUGCAAGCGUUAAUCGGAAUUACUGGGCGUAAAGCGCACGCAGGCGGUCUGUCAAGUCGGAUGUGAAAUCCCCGGGCUCAACCUGGGAACUGCAUUCGAAACUGGCAGGCUUGAGUCUUGUAGAGGGGGGUAGAAUUCCAGGUGUAGCGGUGAAAUGCGUAGAGAUCUGGAGGAAUACCGGUGGCGAAGGCGGCCCCCUGGACAAAGACUGACGCUCAGGUGCGAAAGCGUGGGGAGCAAACAGGAUUAGAUACCCUGGUAGUCCACGCCGUAAACGAUGUCUACUUGGAGGUUGUGCCCUUGAGGCGUGGCUUCCGGAGCUAACGCGUUAAGUAGACCGCCUGGGGAGUACGGCCGCAAGGUUAAAACUCAAAUGAAUUGACGGGGGCCCGCACAAGCGGUGGAGCAUGUGGUUUAAUUCGAUGCAACGCGAAGAACCUUACCUGGUCUUGACAUCCACAGAACUUUCCAGAGAUGGAUUGGUGCCUUCGGGAACUGUG
rnacentral:rRNA from 2 species